AGUGAACGCUGGCGGUAGGCCUAACACAUGCAAGUCGAACGGCAGCACAGUAAGAGCUUGCUCUUACGGGUGGCGAGUGGCGGACGGGUGAGGAAUACAUCGGAAUCUACUUUUUCGUGGGGGAUAACGUAGGGAAACUUACGCUAAUACCGCAUACGACCUACGGGUGAAAGCAGGGGAUCUUCGGACCUUGCGCGAUUGAAUGAGCCGAUGUCGGAUUAGCUAGUUGGCGGGGUAAAGGCCCACCAAGGCGACGAUCCGUAGCUGGUCUGAGAGGAUGAUCAGCACCUGAGAAAGAGAGACAGGGGGCAGAGCUCUCGGGGAGCGAGCAGGGGGAAAUAGCGGCCAAUGCGCGCAGGCCUGACCCAUCCACAACGGGUGGGGGAAGAAGGCCUCUGGUUUGGAAAGAGCUUUGGUUGGGAAAAAAACGCGGCAGUUUAAACCCCCCCUGUUCUGACGGCACCCAAAAAAUAAGCACCGGCAAAUUCGGG
rnacentral:rRNA from 1 species